UACGUAGGGUGCAAGCGUUAAUCGGAAUUACUGGGCGUAAAGCGUGCGCAGGCGGUUAUGUAAGACAGGUGUGAAAUCCCAGGGCUUAACCUUGGAACUGCAUUUGUGACUGCAUAGCUAGAGUACGGGUAGAGGGGGAUGGAAUUCCGCGUGUAGCAGUGAAAUGCGUAGAUAUGCGGAGGAACACCGAUGGCGAAGGCAAUCCCCUGGACCUGUACUGACGCUCAUGCACGAAAGCGUGGGGAGCAAACAGG
rnacentral:rRNA from 1 species